rnacentral:rRNA from 1 species
UGGGGAAUCUUCCGCAAUGGGCGAAAGCCUGACGGAGCAACGCCGCGUGAGUGAAGACGGCCUUCGGGUUGUAAAGCUCUGUUAUAUGGGACGAACGGGUGUAUGGUCAAUACCCAUACGCCGUGACGGUACCGUAAGAGAAAGCCACGGCUAACUACGUGCCAGCAGCCGCGGUAAUACGUAGGUGGCAAGCGUUGUCCGGAAUCAUUGGGCGUAAAGGGCGCGCAGGCGGUUCGGUAAGUCGGUCUUAAAAAGUGCGGG